UGCUUGUUUUAAUUGCCUUUAAUUUGGUGAC
rnacentral:piRNA from 1 species